CCACCGCGCCCAGCUCAGAUCUCUUCUGAGGCAGUCUUGCUGCAUCCCAGGAGGACCCAGGCCUGAGAGGAGUCUGGGGGUCCUAGCUGCCUGCUCGUUAUAGGGUGCAGUUCUUCCCUCCAUCCUUCACAGGCCUUACUGGUCAUGUUUCAAGGCCAGGCCCAUGUAGGUCUCUGGGGUACAGAGUAGAGCCUCUCCAGGCAGGUGAGAGCAGCAGACCGGUGACUGGUCAGCCCCGUAAGACGGGCUCUGUGCUGCCUGGGCUCCCUGAGCCUCCCUUACCUGCACCCCACCUCCCAGGCUCCGCUAUCCACAACCCCUCACCCACACACCUCUGCCUUCCUCCUCCACCAUCCAGCUGAUACAAAAGAAAGAGCACCAAACACAGAGGCCUCCAGACCUGGACUCAGAUCCCCUCUGGAAGCCGCUGGCUCCUCCUGGCUUGCAGGGGUCCAACCCCAGGCAAUCUGGAGGAAGUCGGACAAAGGAUCCGUUUCUGCGUCUCACUGGGCCGUGGGAGAGCGUGCAGGACCCAGCUCCCGGGAAGAUCAGCCCCAUCUUCCUCAGCUGGGGCCUCUGCUGUCUGUGCUGGGUGCUGCUUAGCAGGGGGUUGGGGAGGAGCUCUAGUCCCUUCCAGCUUCAAGCCCCUUGUCCCAACCCUCCCCACCAACCUUGGGUCCUGCUGUGGGUGGGGUGAACACACACAUACACACACAGUCACUCACAUGUGUUGGGAAUGAAGUUUUUGGUGUCACACACAAAAAAAAUUAACACAGAAACAAAUGAUCUCUCGGCAAGGUGCGCUUUACUUUCUGCAGAAAGGGCGCUGCUCAAUAGCUGCUCAGCCACGAGAGCACACUGAGCGAAGGAGACUGUUAUUUAUAACCUAACGCAUCUACCCUACUGCUGUGUCCAGUUUCCAUUGGCUGGAAUAGGACCUCACAUUUUACACUUUACUCGAUUGGCUAUUGGUUUAAAACGUUUUAAUUGGGUAAGGGGGACAGAACAAAGAAAGAAAAGGAAGUUGCCCAGGGAUAGUUAAGGGAGCAUCUCCAAAUAAGGAAUGGGACGCAC
rnacentral:lncRNA from 10 species